CGGGUAAAAAAUCCUCGAAAAAAAACUUCUUUUUGCGAAAACUGAUAAUUAAUAUUUAAUGUUUUGAAAGGACUACUUUAAAGAAAAAGCACUCCUUUUAACUAUAAUGUCAGUAUCAAUUUGUGAAGCACCUUUCAUGGUUGGGUUCUAUUGUGAAUAGUGAAAAAAAUGGUAGAAUUUUUAAAUAUCUUUAAUUUGUUAUUAACGCAGUUAACUGAAGCAACAUGUUCAAUACGCCA